AACCACACUAUCUAUCGAUGAAUGGAUUCACCCAUGAUAUGACGUGGUUGUUUUAUCUAGGAUAUGGACAUGGCAUCCUAUUAAUUUUGUGCGAUGGCUGGUAAUAGUUUGCCAUGUCCUCGUCCUAGGUGAAACAACCGUGUCAUUUCACGGGUGAAUCCAUCCAUUGAUAGUGUGGUU
rnacentral:pre_miRNA from 1 species